AAGGAAACAUAGAAAUAAAAUUAGCUUCUAACUAACUUUUAAAGCGGUUAAAUUCCGUUUUUUCCUUA
rnacentral:tRNA from 1 species